CGGAGUGAAAAUGAGAGAGAGGGAGAGAAAAUCCCGUUCGAUGCUUCCUUCAAAAUUCCCGACUCCAUCGCGACUCCAUCCUCUCUCGAUCUCUCGAUCUCAAAUCUCCUUGAGCUCUCUCUCGUCGUUCUCGCGGAUCUCUCUCCCUCGACCUCUCUCGGAUCUCCUUCAUCCCUGCCGCCGUCGACAUCGUCCGCGAUCUCACCGGCUCCGAUGAAGGCCUCCGCCCUCUCUCCUCCCGCUCCGACCGCCUCCUGCCCCCUCUCUCCCGCCUCCUCCGAAUCCAGCGGAGCUCUCCACUCCCGCGGCCGAAGCUCUGAUCAAUCUCUCCCAGGAUCAUGGGAUUGCAGAGGAGCUUGUGUCUAUUGGAACCAUGAGUACUGCUAUGGAUGUGAUGUAUAAGGUUGGGGAUCGUAAAGUUGUGAGGUUGAUGGUGAUGUUGUUGGUCAAUUUGACUCAAUUGGAUUCUGGAGCUAGGUCUCUUCUUCAGGGGAUGAAGGAUGUGAGAUUGAUGUCUUGAUGGGCUCACUAAAGUCAAAAUCCAAGGACUUCGACAUAUUUUUCUCUCUUUGGUUAAGAUUCUCUAUAUGAAAUUGAUUGUAAUAGACUUUGUUGGUUAAGAUCUUCUAUAUGAAAUUGAUUGUAAUAGACUUUGUUGGUUAAUAUCUUCUAUAUGAAAUUGAUUGUAAUAGAAUUUGUGACUAGAAAUGGAUUAUAGUUUAUAUUAGGAAUAUCAUGACAUUUACUUUA